CUGUUUGGUUUGUUUAUUCACGUUCACCCGACCUAUUAUAAUUAAAGACCAACGGACUUAGAAGAAGAGCCCGGGAAGAUACUUUAUGCAUUUGAUAUGUGGACAAACCCAACACUGGAUUUGUAAUGAAGCCUCACUUUGCCUAUUACUAAAUGUGUGAACUUGGGGUUAUUAUGAAAAACCCAUUAAAUGGUACACGUUACCACAGAGCCUGACUCAUGGAAAGACCAGAUACUUGCUGAUGUUUUCAGACAGGUCUUUAUCCUGAAUAAAGCUGGGAGCUUCUUGAGAAGAUGGCUGCUUCUAUUCUAUCUGAAUUCUCUAGAGGUACUCCGCACAGCCCAGAACUUGGAACAGAGCCAUUCUAUGAUUGAUAAAUAAUGAUCUAAGCCAAUAUUUGAGCGAGAGUUUUCAUCUUGGUGUUCCUAGUCUUGUAUAAUUGAAAGUGUAGCAAAUACUUACUAUCUUGUUGAAAGUCUUUAUAAUGUAACCCCACACAUGUAUACAUACUUACAUGCAUACAUUAGUAAUACUAUGCUAGAUAAAGCACCUGACUGUUUCUUGAUUUAUCAGCAACAUGGAGAGCAUUUUUGCUUUUUAAAAACUUUAAAACAUUCCAGAGCCUUUUUUUUUCUUAAUACAGUUCUGAAGGCUAGGAAUUUGAAAUCACAGUGUUGGCAGGGCCUGGGUCAGAAUCAAGGUCAGAAGGCCUGGGGAAGAAUCUUCCUUGCCACUUCAAGAGCCUGGUGAUGGCCAGCCAUCCUUGCCAUGUCUCGGCUUGUGACUUCAUAAUUCCGAUCUCUGCUUCCAUCUUCACAUGGCCAUCUUCCCUUCAUGUCUGUGUCCAAAUGUCUUUAGUCUUAUGAGGACAUCAGUGUUUGGAUUAGACCCACCCUUAUCCAAUACAACCUUGUCUUCCACUUGAUUACACCUGCUAAGAUCCCAUUUUUAAAUUAGGUAAUAUUUACAGAUUCUGGAUAGACAUGAAUUGGGGAAAUGCCACUCAACCCAAUACAACAAUUAUAUAUGGAGAUGUUGGCACCUUGGUCUUGAUAAUUGACAGAACGAAUAGAGUAAGUACAUAUCAGCCAACUCGACCUGCCAUUCACAGAACACUAUAACCAACAAAGGCAGAAUGCACAGUCUUUCGAGUGCAUCUCAAACAUUCACCAAGACAGGUCAUAUAAAAACCAAAUGACAGCCCAUCCCAAAGGACUGAAAUUGUACACAGUAAGGUUUUUGGCAAGAGAAUGGAAUUAAAAAGAAAGCAAUAACAAAAGACAGGUAAAACUUCCAAAUAUAUGAAAAUUAUAAACACACUCUCUAUAACACAUUUCUAAGGAA